UGUGACCUCAAAUCAGGUAGGACUACCCGCUGAACUUAAGCAUAUCAAUAAGCGGAGGAAAAGAAACUAACAAGGAUUCCCCUAGUAACUGCGAGUGAAGCGGGAAAAGCUCAAAUUUAAAAUCUGGCGGUCUUUCGGCUGUCCGAGUUGUAAUCUAGAGAAGUGUUAUCCGCGCUGGACCGUGUACAAGUCUCCUGGAAUGGAGCAUCAUAGAGGGUGAGAAUCCCGUCUUUGACAUGGACUGCCAGGGCUUUGUGAUGCGCUCUCAAAGAGUCGAGUUGUUUGGGAAUGCAGCUCAAAAUGGGUGGUAAAUUCCAUCUAAAGCUAAAUAUUGGCGAGAGACCGAUAGCGAACAAGUACCGUGAGGGAAAGAUGAAAAGAACUUUGGAAAGAGAGUUAAACAGUACGUGAAAUUGCUGAAAGGGAAACGCUUGAAGUCAGUCGCGUCGUCCAGGGAUCAACCUUGCUUUUGCUUGGUGCACUUUCUGGUUCGAUGGGUCAGCAUCAAUUUUGACUGUUGGAAAAAGGUUGAGGGAAUGUGGCAUCUUUGGAUGUGUUUAUAGCCCUUGGUCACAUACAAUGGUUGGGAUUGAGGAACUCAGCACGCCGCAAGGCCGGGUUUUAAACCACGUACGUGCUUAGGAUGCUGGCAAUAUGGCUUUAAUCGACCCGUCUUGAAACACGGACCAAGGAGUCUAACAUGCCUGCGAGUGUUUGGGUGGAAAACCCGAGCGCGUAAUGAAAGUGAAAAGUUGAGAUCCCUGUCGUGGGGAGCAUCGACGCCCGGACCAGACCUUUUGUGACGGUUCCGCGGUAGAGCAUGUAUGUUGGGACCCGAAAGAUGGUGAACUAUGCCUGAAUAGGGUGAAUCCAGAGGAAACUCUGGUGGAGGCUCGUAGCGAUUCUGACGUGCAAAUCGAUCGUCAAAUUUGGGUAUAGGGGCGAAAG
rnacentral:rRNA from 1 species